AGUCCCUUCGUAGGUGACCUGCGGAAGGAC
rnacentral:rRNA from 1 species